CCAGCCUGGGUGACAGAGCAAGACUGUGUCUCAAGAAAGAAAGAAAGAAAAGAAAGAAAGAAGGAAAGAAAGAAGGAAAGAAAGAAAGAAAGAAAGAAAGAGGGCAGGGAGAGAGGGAGGAAGGGAAAGAAGAAAGAAAGAAGGAAAGAAAGAAAGAGAGAGAGAGAGAAAAGAAAGAGAAGGAAGGAAGGAAAGAACGAAGGAAAAAAGGGAAGAGGGGAGGGGAGAGAAGGAGAGAAGAAAGCAAGCAGAAGUUUCAGGCCAGGCACUCCUGGGGGCAGCUUUGCCUGCAGCCGAUACCUUCUUUAAGUCUCACCAUAGUGGCAGGUGUUUCAAAACAGAGAUAGCAGACAGCACUUGAACCUCAGAUGUUUUAAAUUCAGAAGAUCUGCCUGCUCUGGGUCCACAGGUCCCUGUGCAUGGUUGGAAGGAGCUGGGCAGGAUGGGGGUGGGGGCAGUGUGUGUUUCUGUUAGGCACAGACCCCACCAACCCCUAUUGCCCUGUGUCCGCCUGCCUCACUUAGGCACGUUUGCCCUCCUGGCCCUGUGAGCAUUUGAGUCGCUCCUUGACCCCGCAGAGAGCCUGGAGCUUUUGGCCGGCACGUGUCGUUAGGAGGCCUGUGGACCUGACCCUCCAGGGGCUGCAGCCUCCUUACCCGGGCAGCUGUGUUUCCCUGGACAGGCCCAGCCCAGGGCAUCUGCCUGAAUCUCACCCCAACUCCAGACAGAGAACUGAAGGGGAGACAGGUUCUCCCAGAGACGCGGCUUAGCGCGCCGGGGGCAGGGGCUGCCCUGCUCGACCUUCCGCAGCCGCUUUAGCUGGAGACAACACCCUCCUGAUGCCUUUUGGUCUCUGGAGGCGUCAAGGAGUGUGUGGGCACUUUCUAAGGGGCCUCUGCCAUGACACAGGGGAGGAGCAGAUUUAAGUCAGCUCUGGAAUUUGCUUCUGGUCAGCAGAGCGAUGGGCUGCUCUGGGGAGGUAGUGAGCUGGCUGUCCUAAAAAGAGUUCAAGUGGAAUGUGCUCUGGGCCAGCCUGGGGGCUGGGGUAGGACCUGGUCCCUGGCAUCCAGAUGAGGCAGUGUGAUGGGAGGGAAGGGCCUCAAUGAAAGCCAGGGCUGCAAGAGCCCAGCAGGAGGUGAGGGAAGGCUUCCCAGAGGAGGUGUCUUCUGAGCUGAAGGGGCAGGUGGGGGAAUGGGCCACUGGGGCUGCAGCUCUGGGCUGAGGCCAGAUCAGAAAGGAAGCUGCGCUUUGUGCUGAGGGCGGUGGGAGCCAUGGAAGGUGUGAUAGGAAGGGCAGCAGCUCCUCCAGCAGGAUGCGUGGAGACCAUAGCUCCCUGCACCCCAUUUUAUGGAUGGGGAGACUGAGGAUCAACAUUGCUUCAGGGUCUGGGGCCCCUGUGGUCUGGUUUGCAAACUGGAGUGAAGGGCCAGCUCCAACUCUCACUUGCUGAGCAACCCUGAGUGAGUCACUCAGUCUCCCCGAGCCUGUUUGUACGUCUGUAAAAUGAGCCUCACACUCCACACCUUGCCAAGUUCUUGGGAGAAGGUGCAGGCCUGGUCCCCGGGUCGUCCCCAGCCUCAGCCACCCCACAAUAAGAAAAGAGCCUGUCAUCUCACACUUUUGCACACUCUCACCUUGCAUGGCUGUUGGGGAGGCAGAGCUUUGCGGGGAGGGAGGCUUUUGUUUGCAGGGAAACUGAGGCCCAGAGAGGGUGAGCAGGCAGCUUGGGUCUCAAGGCAAGGCCCUGGCAGGCCAAGCCGGACAUCUUCCCUGCCGGGCUCAGAGACCCCAGGACCAGGAGCGGGCAGGCCUGAGCACAGAUCCAGGUCCCGCUGUGUGGGUCCCCACUUCCCCACGCCCCAGUCCCGCCCAGGGCCAGGGCUUGUCAGUGCAUGUCUCCCAGCUGUCCUCAGCCCCUCCCGGUGGACACAAAGGCCAGGCCUCUCGAAGAGGCGAAGAGGCAGCAGGAAGGGGCUCCUGCCAGCUGGGCUGUGGAUGCAGGCGGGGAAGUGAGUGGAGACAGGAAGGAAGCCGCACAGCUGGAGACUGGGCCGCCAUUGUGUCACCUGGAGCGGGGGCGCCGUGGUCUGCCCUCAGAUGCCUCCCCAGCGCUGGAGGGCAGCGGGGGUUGCUGGGCCCUCCUCUCUCCGGGCCCCACCCUUCUGCUGACUUCCUGCCCCCACCCCAGCCUCAGUUUCCCCAUUUAUAAAACCUUAGGAGGCAAGACCUGUGGGAAUUAUACAGUAG
rnacentral:lncRNA from 1 species